GCUUAGCCUUCGGGUUGAGUUCAAAAUGUCUAUUACUAACCUUCUAAGCCCAAGAGUGUUUAGUUAUUCAUCUACUGUCCGUGAGAUGGUCUACUCGACUCGAUGGUUAAGUCUAGGGAUACUCAACUUGGGGCUACCGGUGAUGGGAAAUCGGGUAACCAUAAGGCCUAUCUGGAUGGUUAUGCUGUUGUCUUCGUUGCUUCACGUCAAGAAUGCCUGAAUUCGGGAGAGAUGGGUUAUAAAGAAGCUAGUCUCUGGAAUCUUUUAGUCUAUAUAGAAGCUGACUUUGGUUUAGUUCAUCAGAUGGUUCAUAAUUACCGGGGCUGUUGUAGGGUGAUGUGGUGGAUGCUGGCGUUUAUAUUUUACUUGAAAAGUGAUGGUUUGAGGUGUUAACACUACUGUGGGCAGAAUGGGUUCGUAGUGUCUACUCUGCGAAGCGAGUGAUGGAUUAAAGAUGUGCAAUACUGAAUGAAACCUGUAGUUCUUGGUAAUAAAAUUGGGUUAAAGUUA